GAUGAAGAACGCAGCGAAAUGCGAUAAGUAAUGUGAAUUGCAGAAUUCAGUGAAUCAUCGAAUCUUUGAACGCACCUUGCGCCCUUUGGUAUUCCGAGGGGCAUGCCUGUUUGAGUGUCAUAAAUCUCUCAACCUUCCCUUCUAGUUUUUUCUGGUAGGGGAUGGGUUGGAUCUUGGGGGGUUUAUUGUCGGCUCCAUUGCGAGUCGACUCCCCUGAAAAGCAUUAGCAGUCGUGCUGUCUGCCACCGGUGUGAUAGUAAUCUAUGCCGUCUGGUCCAGUAUACGCGCUUGUCUGCUCCAAACAGUCCGAACAGUCUUGGACAACAAUAUAAAAUGACCACUUGACCUCAAAUCAGGUAGGACUACCCGCUGAACUUAAGCAUAUCAAUAAGCGGAGGA
rnacentral:misc_RNA from 1 species